AGGGACAACAACACUGGCGGGGCCAGCUCCCCAGCUGGAGUCAGCUCCCGCAGUAACAACCGCAGCUCCCAGUCUGCAGGGGCCUGGAUGCUCCAGGGGCGG
rnacentral:pre_miRNA from 1 species